GUCUGACUGCGAAUCAGAAGAUUCCGGGUUCGAAUCCCG
rnacentral:tRNA from 15 species